AAUCAACGCUGGCGGCGUGCCUCAGACAUGCAAGUCGAACGAUUAAAGCUCCCUUCGGGGAGUGUAUAGAGUGGCGCACGGGUGAGCAACACGUAAGUAAUCUACCCUCGAGUGGGGAAUAACGUCCGGAAACGGACGCUAAUACCGCAUAAUGCAGCGGCACCGCAAGGUGACAGUUGUUAAAGAUUUAUCGCUUGAGGAGGAGCUUGCGGCAGAUUAGCUAGUUGGAAGGUAAUGGCUUACCAAGGCUACGAUCUGUAACCGGUCUAAGAGGACGGUCGGUCACACUGACACUGAAUAACGGGUCAGACUCCUACGGGAGGCAGCAGUCGGGAAUUUUGGGCAAUGGGCGAAAGCCUGACCCAGCAACGCCGCGUGAAGGAUGAAGUCCCUCGGGAUGUAAACUUCGCAAGAACGGGAAGAAUAAGCGAGAGUUAAUAUCUUUCGUGAUGAC
rnacentral:rRNA from 1 species